CAUGCAAGUCGAACGAAACCUUCGGGUUUUAGUGGCGAACGGGUGAGUAACACGUAAGCAACCUACCCUAAAGACGAGGAUAACCAUUGGAAACAGUGGCUAAGACUGGAUAGGAAGAUAAAAGGCAUCUUUUAUCUUUUAAAAGACCUAGUAAUAGGUAUGCUUUAGGAGGGGCUUGCGCCAUAUUAGUUAGUUGGUAGGGUAAUGGCCUACCAAGACGAUGAUGUGUAGCUGGACUGAGAGGUUGAACAGCCACAUUGGGACUGAGACACGGCCCAAACUCCUACGGGAGGCAGCAGUAGGGAAUUUUCGGCAAUGGAGGAAACUCUGACCGAGCAACGCCGCGUGAAUGACGAAGUACUUCGGUAUGUAAAGUUCUUUUAUCAAGGAAGAAAAGCAAAUGGCGAACCAUUUGUUUGCCGGUACUUGAUGAAUAAGCCCCGGCUAAUUAUGUGCCAGCAGCCGCGGUAAGACAUAAGGGGCAAGUGUUAUCCGGAAUUAUUGGGCGUAAAGGGUGCGUAGGCGGUCUAGUAAGUCAGUGGUGUAAUGGCAACGCUUAACGUUGUCCGGCUAUUGAAACUGCUAAACUUGAGUUAGAUAGAGGCGAGUGGAAUUCCAUGUGUAGCGGUAAAAUGCGUAAAUAUAUGGAGGAACACCAGAGGCGUAGGCGGCUCGCUGGGUCUUAACUGACGCUGAGGCACGAAAGCGUGGGGAGCAAACAGGAUUAGAUGCCCUGGUAGUCCACGCCGUAAACGAUGAGUACUAAGUGUCGGGUUAAACCGGUACUGAAGUUAACACAUUAAGUACUCCGCCUGAGUAGUACGUACGCAAGUAUGAAACUUAAAGGAAUUGACGGGACUCCGCACAAGCGGUGGAUCAUGUUGUUUAAUUCGAAGAUACCCGAAAAACCUUACCAGGUCUUGACAUGUUUUUGCAAAAUGAUAGUAAUAUCGUGGAGGUUACCAGAAACACAGGUGGUGCAUGGUUGUCGUCAGCUCGUGUCGUGAGAUGUUAGGUUAAGUCCUAAAACGAGCGAAACCCUUAUCGUUAGUUGCCAGCACGUUAUGGUGGGGACUUUAACGAGACUGCCAAUGAUAAAUUGGAGGAAGGUGAGGAUCACGUCAAAUCAGCAUGCCCCUUAUGACCUGGGCUACAAACGUGAUACAAUGGCUGUUACAAAGGGUAGCUGAAACGCAAGUUCUUGGCCAAUCCCCAAAAACAGUCCCAGUCCGGAUUGAAGUCUGCAACUCGACUUCAUGAAGUUGGAAUCGCUAGUAAUCGCGAAUCAGCAUGUCGCGGUGAAUACGUUCUCGGGGUUUGUACACACCGCCCGUCAAACCACGAAAGUUGGCAAUACCCCAAAACGGUAGCCUAACUCGUUUAUUCGAGAGGGCGCCGUCUAAGGUAGGGUCGAUGAUUGGGGUUAAG
rnacentral:rRNA from 1 species